CCGUAGCCCAAGAGAUCGGGAUAACACCUGGAAACAGAUGCUAAUACCGGAUAACAACAGAUGAUGCCUAUCAACUGUUUAAAAGAUGGUUCUGCUAUCACUCUUGGAUGGACCUGCGGUGCAUUAGCUAGUUGGUAGGGUAACGGCCUGCCAAGGCGAUGAUGCAUAGCCGAGUUGAGAGACUGAUCGGCCACAUUGGGACUGAGACACGGCCCAAACUCCUACGGGAGGCAGCAGNG
rnacentral:rRNA from 1 species